rnacentral:rRNA from 1 species
CCUACGGGUGGCACCAGUGAGGAAUAUUGGACAAUGGGUGGAAGCCUGAUCCAGCCAUCCCGCGUGUAGGAAGACGGCCUUAUGGGUUGUAAACUACUUUUAUCUGGGGAUAAACCUACUUACGAGUAAGUAGCCGAAGGUACCAGAAGAAUAAGCACCGGCUAACUCCGUGCCAGCAGCCGCGGUUAUACGGGGGGUGCGAGCGUUAUCCGGAUUUAUUGGGUUUAAAGGGUCCGUAGGCGGGAUAAUCAGUCAGUGGUGAAAUCCCUUAGCUUAACUAAGGAACUGCCAUUGAUACUGUUAUUCUUGAGUAAGGUUGCAGUGGCUGGAAUGUGUAGUGUAGCGGUGAAAUGCUUAGAUAUUACGCAGAACACCAAUUGCGAAGGCAGGUCACUAAGCCUUAACUGACGCUGAUGGACGAAAGCGUGGGGAGCGAACAGGAUUAGAUACCCCCGUAGUC